rnacentral:rRNA from 1 species
UACGUAGGUGGCAAGCGUUGUCCGGAUUUACUGGGCGUAAAGAGCGCGCAGGCGGCUGGUCAAGUCCGAUGUGAAAUCUCCCGGCUCAACUGGGAAACUGCAUCGGAAACUGAUCGGCUUGAAGGUGGGAGAGGGUAGUGGAAUUCCCGGUGUAGUGGUGAAAUGCGUAGAGAUCGGGUGGAACACCAGCGGCGAAGGCGGCAUCCUGGCCCUGUACUGACGCUGAGGCGCGAUAGCGUGGGGAGCAAACGGG